rnacentral:lncRNA from 1 species
CUGCACUGCAAGGGAUGUGUGUGUUGGUCAUAUUUGUUUGUGUGUGUGUGUUACCACUUAAUACAGAAGCACCAUGCAUACUGAGAGAAAACAGCCUCUCUCUUAUGAAUGCAUCCCUGUACUUUAAAUACUUUAAAAGGCGUGCAAGGGGGCUUUCUACUUCUGCUUCCAGCUAUGAAGAAAUGACUGCUGCAAGACGAGAUCCUCCUGUAACAACCAGGAAAAUGGAAAAAAAAUUAUAAGGAGUGAUUGUUUUCAGACUUUGGACAAAGACAGUACCAUGCUGUCAUCACUUGAUGGACGGUAUUUAUUGCAGAAAAAGGAGGCUAAUGAGACACCGUCUGGCUCUCUCACUGAAGCUGGAGUGGCGCGAUCUUGGCUCACUGCAACCUCCGCCUCCUGGGUUCAAGCAAUUUUUCUGCCUCAGCCUACAGAGUAGCUGGGACUACAGGUGCGUGCCACUACCUCUGGCUAAUUUUCGUAUUCUCAGUAGAGAUGGGGUUUCACCAUAUUGGCCAGGCUGAUCUCG